CAACAGGUCACAUGGAUUUGCAACGACAUGGACAUAAGGGGGUCGGUGGAAUGAAAAUGUUUUGAGCUCUGUAGAAUAGAUAAGCAUAGUCGUAACAAGUGUCCACAUCGAAACUACUAUCCUGGACAAUCCUCAAGGUUAGGGUAUUCUAAAAUUUGAUGCCUAGUGUUCCAAUGUGUAUAAAUUUAUGUCUUAUAUUAAUUUUGAAAUUUAAUUAAUUCUUUAACACAA
rnacentral:lncRNA from 1 species